rnacentral:rRNA from 1 species
GUGGGGAAUAUUGCGCAAUGGGGGAAACCCUGACGCAGCGACGCCGUGUGAGGGAAGAAGGCUUUCGGGUCGUAAACCUCUGUCAGAAAGGAAGAACCUCCCAAGUCCGAAUAGGGCUUGGGACUGCCGGUACUUUCAAAGGAAGCACCGGCUAACUCCGUGCCAGCAGCCGCGGUAAUACGGAGGGUGCAAGCGUUAAUCGGAAUCACUGGGCGUAAAGCGCGCGUAGGCCGCUUUGUAAGUCGGACGUGAAAGCCCUCGGCUCAACCGGGGAACGGCGUUCGAUACUGCGAGGCUUGAAGCCUGGAGAGGGUGGCGGAAUUCCGGGUGUAGGAGUGAAAUCCGUAGAUAUCCGGAGGAACACCGGUGGCGAAGGCGGCCACCUGGACAGGUACUGACGCUGAGGCGCGAAAGCGUGGGGAGCAAACAGGAUUAGAUACCCUUGUAGUCC